CAGAUUACCGAUCUACUAUCGAACGGGAGUGACAGCCGACGUUCGACUCCCGCAAUGCGCCAAACCAGCCGACGGUGUCCCCGAGUUUUCACCCAACGCCCCGCAGCCGAAUGCCGACGUAUGGUCGGUCAGUUCCCCCAAACACCGUACGACUGCUAUGGGCUGCUGUCCUGACAAGGACAUGCGACGUGAUCGUCCUGGAGGCAUCGUCCUGCCAAGGACACAGGUCAGUCCCAGUGAUUUGACAGCCCACGGUGACUUGUCAAUCUGCGGUGAUUCUGACAGCCUCCGAUGAUUUGACAACUCCUCGGUUGUCUGCGUCAUUAAUGACGGGACCACGCCGCGCUCUAUUAUAAAACGGGAAAGACAACAGUGUUGGAGGAGAUUUUUUCGAAGCCCCUGAGCUCUCUCUCUCUCUCGCUCUGGCCCUCUCCCACCGAGCCCCUGAUUCUUUUCCACUGUUGCCUAGUCUCCUCUUUGACUUGACCGUCGGAGGGUUCCCGCCAGAGGCAUCUCAGGUCAGUGUGGACUUCUCUUGCAGGUGCUCGUUCCUGACGAUCAGGCGACGAGGGGAUUGGCCGCAACAGGUUUGGCGUGCCAGGUGAGGGGAUCACGACCUCCACAGAGCUUGAAAAAUCCUUUCGAGAUGACAAGAACCAGGACUCAGCGAUCGAGAGCCACUGGAUCGGCGAGGCACUCUUCCCGUUGGGAAGAGGCCUCUCCUCCACCCUCCAUGGCGGAACCCAGCUCUCCGCAUCCUGUGGUGACCACGGACGUGCAGAUCGCGGCGAUCGUGCGGCAGAUGAC
rnacentral:lncRNA from 1 species